rnacentral:lncRNA from 1 species
GGUGCCUGCAUAUGGAGUGAGGGUGUGUGAUAACUGAAUUAGUCUGCUGACUGGCUUAGCACAGUUCUGGGCAUGGGUAAAGGGAAGGCCCACACUGGAGUGGGUGGCACCCACAGUAGGCUUGUAUUUAGCUGGCUACCUGGGCUUCAUGGUCACCUUGGGAGCACAGAGUGACACCUCCCAGGAAGCUGUGACCUGUGUCUCUCUGCAAGCAACCUUUCCUGAUACAGUUCUCGGUAGCAUCCGUUCACUCUCCCUCGGGGCGCUAAUGACUUCUCAGGCUCCACUAAGGUAAUAAUGGCUGAACGUUAGUGAAGAUGGUAAUAAAUGAGGGAAAUGCUACUCCAGACAGAGACAGAGAAAGGUGAAGAGAUAUUAAUAUUUUCCACAACAGGGUUUCUCUGAGUCUUUUUUUUUCCCCCAUACAAAAUUAUUCCAAACCUAUGCUUGGAGAAUGAAAACCUCCAUGGGCUGGUACAUGCUGUUGAGCUUGACUAUGCAUAUAAGGUAAAAUAUGGAGGAUUCAAAAAUAUAACAAGGAAUAAAAUCAGAAAACCUCCAAUGAUUAUUUUUGAUGUUUUAAAAUGAAAAGAG